CUGCGGCUAAUACCGAAUGCCCUCGUGAGAGGAAAGAUUUAUCGCCAGAAGAGGAGCCCGCGUCCGAUUAGGUAGUUGGUGGGGUAAAGGCCUACCAAGCCGACGAUCGGUAGCUGGUCUGAGAGGAUGAUCAGCCACACUGGGACUGAGAUACGGCCCAGACUCCUACGGGAGGCAGCAGUGGGGAAUAUUGGACAAUGGGGGCAACCCUGAUCCAGCAAUGCCGCGUGAGUGAUGAAGGCCUUAGGGUUGUAAAGCUCUUUUGCCAGGGAAGAUGAUGACUGUACCUGGAGAAUAAGCCCCGGCUAACUUCGUG
rnacentral:rRNA from 1 species